rnacentral:rRNA from 1 species
GAUGAACGCUGGCGGCGUGCCUAAUACAUGCAAGUCGAGCGAAUGGAUUAAGAGCUUGCUCUUAUGAAGUUAGCGGCGGACGGGUGAGUAACACGUGGGGAACCUGCCCAUAAGACUGGGAUAACUCCGGGAAACCGGGGCUAAUACCGGAUACCAUUUUGAACCGCAUGGUUCGAAAUUGAAAGGCGGCUUCGGCUGUCACUGAUGGAUGGACCCGCGUCGCAUUAGCUAGUUGGUGAGGUAACGGCUCAUCAAGGCAACGAUGCGUAGGCGACCUGAGAGGGUGAUCGGCCACACUGGGACUGAGACACGGCCCAGACUCCUACGGGAGGCAGCAGUAGGGAAUCUUCCGCAAUGGACGAAAGUCUGACGGAGCAACGCCGCGUGAGUGAUGAAGGCUUUCGGGUCGUAAAACUCUGUUGUUAGGGAAGAACAAGUGCUAGUUGAAUAAGCUGGCACCUUGACGGUACCUAACCAGAAAGCCACGGCUAACUACGUGCCAGCAGCCGCCGCAG